UACAGAGGGCUCAAGCGUUGUUCGGAUUCAUUGGGCGUAAAGGGUGCGUAGGCGGCGCGGUAAGUCGGGUGUGAAAUCUCGGAGCUUAACUCCGAAACUGCAUUCGAUACUGCCGUGCUUGAGGACUGGAGAGGAGACUGGAAUUUACGGUGUAGCGGUGAAAUGCGUAGAUAUCGUAAGGAAGACCAGUGGCGAAGGCGGGUCUCUGGACAGUUCUGACGCUGAGAGACGAAAGCUAGGGUAGCAAAUGGG
rnacentral:rRNA from 1 species